rnacentral:rRNA from 1 species
CGUCUAGGCGGGGGAUUAAGUUAGAUGUGAAAUCCAUGGGCUCAACCCAUGAACUGCAUCUAAAACUGAUUCUCUUGAGUUCGGGAGAGGAGAGCGGAAUUUCCGGUGUAGCGGUGAAAUGCGUAGAUAUCGGAAAGAACACCAGCGGCGAAGGCGGCUCUCUGGCCUAGAACUGACGCUAAAGCGCGAAAGCGUGGGGAGCGAACAGGAUUAGAUACCCUGGUAGUCC